AAUUGGGGCUUUAACUAAACUCGUGAUCACCUCAGUAAAGGGAUCAUAAGACAAAGGAAUCGAGUCUUUAAGCGGACAAACCGGAGUGGACACGCGCUUGAAGGGAACGCUUUAAAGGUGAAUGUCGAGGGUCCCGGAUGAUGAUCAAGCAUCGAGCAAGAACCGAACACACGUUAAACAAAGCUUCCGCAAUAUUG